rnacentral:rRNA from 1 species
CCUACGGGUGGCUGCAGUGAGGAAUAUUGGUCAAUGGCCGAGAGCCUGAACCAGCCAAGUCGCGUGAGGGAAGACGGCCCUACGGGUUGUAAACCCCUUUUGUCGGGGAGCAAAGCGAGUCACGUGUGACUCAUUGAGAGUACCCGAAGAAAAAGCAUCGGCUACCACCGUGCCACCAGCCGCGGUAAUACGGUGGAUGCGCUCGUUAUCCGGAUUGAGUGGGGUUAAGGGGUGCGCAGGCGGAGGUGCACGUCAGCGGUAAAAUUGAGAGGCUCAACCUCUUCGAGCCGUUGAAACUGGUUUACUUGAGUGAGCGAGAGGUAUGCGGAAUGCGUGGUGUAGCGGUGAAAUGCAUAGAUAUCACGCAGAACACCGAUGGCGAAGGCAGCAUACCGGCGCUCAACUGACGCUGAUGCACGAAAGUGUGGGUAUCGAACAGGAUUAGAUACCCGGGUAGUC